UUUGAAAAUUCAACUGAAUCAACAGGUUUUCCUCAACAAAACAUCAGAAUCUCUGACAAACACCGAAUCCCUUCCGUGCUGCUGUUAGAACUCAACUGAUGAUGUGAAUCAGCCUUCAGGCUCCAUUGUUGGGACUUCAGUCUGCAGCUGCAGAAACAACUUCCAACUGCCUGAAAUGUACUGAAACCAAACAGUUCAGACUGAGCGAUGGCCUCUGAAGCCGGCGGGACGAUGGAGGUGGCGGCGCUCGGCCGGCCUUUCAGCCUCGGGAUGUUGUACGACUGCCGCA